rfam:Pararhizobium polonicum strain F5.1 plasmid pF5.1a, whole genome shotgun sequence.
CGUCAAGAGCUUUUGGCACCGUUUUGGUGAGCGGAUUUCUUUUGCCUUUUGAAAGGUAGAAGACAAUG